rnacentral:lncRNA from 1 species
GUCCCCUAUACUGAAAUUUCAUAUAAUACAAAUAAAUUUGUUUCCGUCUUUUAAUGUUAUGGAAAUCCGUUUACAAGACUUCCCCUAUAGGUGACAUGUGACGACAGAUGUUAUUUAAGCCAGGUAAGUACGUGUAAUAUACAUUCGUGUAUAAUUUAACACAAUGGAUGGUUUAUACGUAGUGUUAAUAUGGAUGGUUUGUCUUAUUCCAGCUAGUAAGUUGUGUAAACUUAUUGUUUUGGUCUGAUUUAUCAGUAUUCGAAUUGUAUUUCAUAUGUAUAACGUUAAAUAGUCCAGAAGUAACAGUGAGCAGUAGAAUGUAGUUUUCUAUUUUUUUUUUUUUUUUUUUUUUUUUUUAUAUUGUGUUUUAUGUUUACCUUAUCUUAAUUGGUUAGAUAACAAAUGAUAUUUUUAAUGUAUUUUUUUAUUUACAAUACAUGUCAUGGUGAAUGUGUAAUUUGAAAAUUACUUUGCCCUUUGGCCCUCUUGUUGUAAUUUAUGCUUCAUAAAAUUUAUAAUAAUCGGAUCAAAGUCUUGUUUUCUUGAUAUGUCUAAACAUCUGGGGGCUUAUUCACAAAUCAUCCGUUAACGGACUAAUUAAGAUCUCCGUUAAGUUUCCAUUAAUCAAGUGUAAUUUGUAUUCACAAACUGUGACCCUUGUGUUUUUUUUUAAGUUUUGGUCCAUUUGGUCGAUUUUCGACGAAUCUUAAGUCUUCAUAUAAGCUAUUUCUCAUCUAUUUAAUUGAAGAAUGAAAUAAAAAAAAGAUACCUUCAUAUGCUACUUUUAGAGAUAAAUUUGGUCGAAAUUUAGACAUUGUUUUUUUUUUUGUGGGGGGAGGGGGGCUUAAGCAUGUUAUAUAACAGUACUAUCACUUGGGCACAUAAACUUAUUUUUGUCUUUACAUGGAAACAUUAUUGUGCGAGAGUGACAGAACAUGAUUCAGAUGUGGAUAUAAAAAGUCCAAAAAUCUGUAUAAAUAAUCUAAGCUUCUUUCCUCUUGCAAAAGUAUUAAACAUUUCAUUUUUUUAUCCUUUAAACAAGUACAUUACAAAUUAAAAUUGGAAGAAUUCGUCCUGUAUAAUGACGUAGAUAUCUUGUUUUAUGGAUUGAUAAAUCGAUCUUUGUAAAAAUCCACUCCUAUUCAAAUAAACAUUUUCUGAAACUGACAUCAUCAAAAUGCUUGAUUUAUUAUUUAACCAACAUAUUUGUUUAAAGUCGUGUUUUUCAAAUAACAAUCUAAUUCCUGUGGGAUUUAACUGAGCUCCCUUCUUGUCGCCUUGUUUCUUCAUUAUUUUGUGGCUACUACAUAUAACAUAUUCUAAUUUAGAAUUAAAAGAAGCUAGCAUUAUCCUUGAACUUCACGUCUCGCUAAACUAUUCAAAGUUUGGUGAAUCUUUAACUUACAUAGAUGAUACAACACAUCCAGUUAAUUCUUGAACACCAGGUUGUAGGUCUAAUCAGGAACAUUUAUACUGUUACAAGGUCUAAUCAUUCAAAUCCUUGGCUAAACAAAGUUCUAUCAACACAUUUAAAAAAAGUCUUCGCAGCAGUGGUUUCGAAAUAAUCAUUAUAUUUAUUCUACUUACUUUUCAAGUUUUGAUAUUUUUUUUCUAAAGAAAGCUUUUAGCUGAUAUUUAUUGUUAACAUGAUUGCGAGGUUUUUUUUAUAUAUUAGAUAAUUAAAAUAUAAUCUGAAAAUUGUUUUAACAAAAUCUUAAUUUGUAUUACCUUGAACAAACUUUCAGUAAGUAUAAUUUAGUUUGUACAAUAUCAUAUUAUAUUCCAACUAGUUUGAUAUAUUCCUUUUAUUUCAUUAAGAACAUGAAGAUAAAAAAUGAACACAUUUUUUUCUGUAUUUUAGCAAAUUUUGCCCCGAUUGAAGUGAUGUGCCCUGAUGGAAGGCGCCCAUUGAGGUGCGCAGAUCGAUACAAAAACCACUGUAAAACUAUGUAUUGUCAGGUCAAAGAGGCCGUCUGCAAGUAAGUACUAACUACACAAACAAAAGCUACUGUAACAAUAUGUUUUGUUAGGUCAAAGAGACCGUCUGCAAGUAAGUACUAACUACACAAACAAAAACCACUGUAACAAUUUGUAUUGUCAGACCAGAGAGGCCGUCUGCGAGUAAGUAGUUACUACACAAACAAAAGCCACUGUAAUAAUAUGUAUUGUCAGAUCAUAGAGGCCGUCUGCGAGUAAGUAAUAACUGAUACAAAACUACUGUAACAAUAUGUAUUGUCAGAUCAGAGAGGUCGUCUGCGAGUAAGUAGUUACUACACGCAAAAACCACUGUUACAAUAUGUAUUGUCAGAUCAGAGAGGCCGUCUUCGAGUAAGAAGUGACUGAUACAAAACCACUGUACCAAUAUGUAUGGUCAGAUCAGAAAGGUCUUCUGCGAGUAAGUAGUUACUACAAAAACAAAAACCACUGAAACAAUAUGUAUUGUCAGAUCAAGAGAGGUCGUCUGCGAGAAAGUAGUUACUAAACAAACGAAAACUACUGUAACAAUAUGUAUUGUCAGAUCAGAGAGGCCGUCUGUGAGUAGGUAGUGACUGAUAUGAAAACCGCUGUAACAAUAUGUAUUGUCAGAUCAGAGAGGCCGUCUGCGAGUAAGUAGUGACUGAUAUAAAAACCGCUGUAACAAUAUGUAUUGUCAGAUCAGAGAUGCAGUCAGCGAGUUAUUGGUUAAGACACAAACAAAAACCUCUUUUACAAUAUAUAUAUUGUCAGAUCAGAGAGGCUGUCUUGCUAGUAAGUAGUAACUGCACAAACAAAAACCACUGUAAUAAUAUAUAUUGUCAGAUCAGAGAGGCCGUCUGCAAGUAAGUACUAACUACACAAACAAAAACCACUGUAACAAUAUAUAUUGUAAAAGUCAGAGAGGCCGACUGCGAGUAAGUAGUAACUGAUACAAAAACCACUGUACCAAUAUGUAUUGUCUGAUCAGAGAGGUCGUCUGCGAGUAAGUAGUUUCUACACAAACAAAAACCACUGUAACAAUAUGUAUUGUCAGAUCAGAGAGGUCGUCUGCGAGUAAGUAGUAACUGAUACAAAAACCAUUGUAACAAUAUGUAUUGUCAGAUCAGAGAGGUCUUCUACGAGUAAGUUGUUACAUACACAAACAAAAACCACUGUAACAAUAUGUAUUGUCAGAUCAGAGAGGUCGUCUGCGAGUAAGUAGUAACUGAUACAAAAACUAUUGUAACAAUAUGUAUUGUCAGGUCAGAGGCCGUCUGCGAGUAAGUAGUAACUACACACUUAGCAUGUAUAUUACAGGUAUGCAUGUGUAGCCAAAUUCAUAGAUGUUUCAUUAUAAAGAUUUGGAAUCAAAUGAUGUAAAAAGUAAAAUCACAAAAAUACUGAAUUUAGAGGAAAAUCAAUUCGGAAAGUCCAUAAUCACAUGGCAAAAUCAAAUAACAAAACGCAUAAAAAACGAAUGGACAAGAACUGUCAUAUUCCUGACUUGGUACAGGCAUUUUCAAAUGCAGAAAAUGGUGGAUUAAACCUGGUUUUAUAGCGCUAACCCUCUCACUUUCAUUGAUUUGUGUGACGUCAGAAAAUUGUAUACGUCACAUAGAUUUGUCGUUCAAUGUGCAUACAAACAAUUUUAAAAUUUACAUAGGCAAUGUUAUCUUGUAGGGUUAAAAUCAAAAGUAUGUAAGAAUAAAUUUCAGAAUAGACAGAGAUUGAAAAUAGUCCAAAAGUUAUAUAUAGAAUUUAUAAGAAUCCACAAAUAGUUAAUUCCACUACGCGAUUGAAUGAUUUUGACGUUAACUUUAUGGUUCAACGUAUUUUGUAAUUCAUAAUAGAAAUAUAUCAUAAUGAUAUAAAAUAGAACAAUAUCAUACUGAAGGGAUCUUUUAAAGUACAGAGUCACGUUAUAAGAACCAAAUAAAUACAAAAAGUCAUAUAUACAAAACGCGCCUCCAAAAAAUGAAAGACAAUACAAACACAUUGACGAGAUGUAAAAGUACUUCUAAACGCAUCCAUAAUGAAAUAUUAAAAAACAAGAAUGUGUCCAAAAUACACGGAUGCCCCACUCGCACUAUCAUUUUCCAUGUUCAAUGGACCGUGAAAUGGGUAAAAAAUGUAAUUAGGCAUUAAAAUUAGAAAGAUCAUAUCAUAAGGAACAUAUGUACUAAGUUUCAAGUUGAUUGGACUUCAGCUUCAUCAAAAACUACCUUGACCAAAAACUUUAACCUGAAGCGGGACAGACGGACGGACGAACGAACGGACGGACAGACGGACGAACGGACGCACAGACCAGAAAACAUAAUGCCCCUCUACUAUCGUAGGUGGGGCAUAAAAAGCCUAAUCUAUCUGACGCUCUACAUUGCCUGAGAGGUAAACAGUUGUUAAUAAACUUGUUAAUAGUUUACCAGUCAUUGUUGUUAAAUGAUGAACCCACGAGGUAAUGCUUGAUUUAUUGAUUGUUGCUUGUUUAACACCCAGAGGCAAAUAUUCGUAACAAAUUAAAAAUUACGCACAAAAGAUAAGUUGAUGCGUAAAAUGCAUUGCCAGUGGAAAAUUAAUGUAUGUUAGAUAGUGGCAAACAUUUUCCCCCGUCCAAAAGCCCCCUAUGAACAACUCAUACAAUCUAAUUAAAAGAAGCAAACUGCAAGGGUACUUCAACGAGAACUUUAGCUAGUCGUUUAUUUCGGAAAGUAGAAGAACCCUUACACAAUUGUUUGAGGUGACCAUAGAUUGCCUGUUAUAAGACUAUAUAUAUGGCACCUUCGAAUUCCCUACAUAUCCUACUUUCCAUUCGAAAUGUCCUUCCUUGUGGGUUCAGCCUACCUUGCUUCAUCCUUGUGGGUUCAGCCUACCUUGCUCCAUCCUUGUGGGUUCAGCCUACCUUGCUCCAUCCUUGUGGGUUCAGCCUACCUUGCUCCAUCCUUGUGGGUUCAGCCUACCUUGCAGAACAAAACUUUUGCAUUAAUUUUUGAUAGCCUAUCGUCCUUGGUAUUUACGUAUCGAUUUUAAGUGGACGAAAGUCGUUAAGCAAGCAACUAUCAUUCAACCAAAAAUUAACAAGAGAAUAUAAAACACCACAAAAAUAUCUUUAGUACCGUUAAGCUUCAGAUACAUUCAGUAACAAGCUUUCUUCAAGGCAACAAUUUACAACAUGUAAUUUCCAAUUUUUAGUAAUUGAUUUGAAAAAGUUUGUGACAGCAGCGUUAAAGGCUGCAUUUGUUUGUUGUUUUGUUAAUUCUUUACUUGGUAUUCGGUGGGAAUUUUGUCUUUUCAGUUUGACUACUAGUAUAUCCUAUCGACUUUACGCUAUUGCCUCUGUGAGAUAAACUUGAAUUUACAAUGUAUGAAAUAAGUCCGGUCACUUCUCACAUGGUGUUUUAUUUAUUACAGUAUUGAUCUAUGUUCUACGGAUUGCUGGCCACGAUUUUACUUCAAGAAUGGUACUAAAUUGAGCCAUACUGCAUGCGGAGGAUUCACAUAAACUCAUAUUUAAUUUUUAAACAAACAAGAACAUAAAGAGGACGACUAAUGAAGACAAGUGGGCUGAUUCUUUCUAUUCUACGUUAUGUUACGUAAAUCAAACAUUUAUAUAGGGUUUCUAGUGCCGAAUAAGCAAGCGGUUAUGUUAGAUUUUGGCAAUAUUGUUUUGUUUGAGAUAAAAAUUUUAUGACUAAAUAAAAUACUCUUUACUGCUGUUUCUCAUAUUUUUUUGUUUUGAAGCGACCUUUACACGAUUGAUUGAUGUAGUGUGUUUGUCUGCAAUUUAUUUUUUGUCCCACUUUGUUUUAGUUCUUAAAUCUUGUUUCUGUCAGC